rnacentral:lncRNA from 1 species
CCCGUAGCCAUCAUCAUAAGCAGCCAUUUCUCCAACAUCCGAAACCAUAUCUCCCACCAACAAACCACCAAGCAAACCAGCACCCAAUCCCAAACCUAAUCCACCUCCCAUUCCACCAAACUUGUUCUUUUUCUUAGGUUGUUGCACCGGUGGAUAUCCGUAUCCAGGUUGUUGUACGGGUGGAUACCCGUAACCAGAUUGUGGUUGCGGGUAUCCAUAACCAGGUGCACCACCAGCAGGUGGGUAUCCAGUGUGUG